rnacentral:rRNA from 1 species
GCAAAAUAGCUAGCCUAUCAACUAAAAUAAACACCCAAUAUAUAUAUAUAUAUAUAAACUAAACAAAGCAUUCUACCCCCUAAGUACGGGCGACAGAAAAGGAAUAAUGAGCUAUAGAAAAAGUACCGCAAGGGAACGCUGAAAAAGAAAUGAAACAACUCAUAUAAGCAAAAAAAAGCAGAGAUUAAUCCUCGUACCUUUUGCAUCAUGGUUUAGCAAGUAAAAUCAAGCAAAGAGAAUUUUUAGUUUGAUCCCCCGAAACUAGACGAGCUACUCCGCGGCAAUUAAUAGAACUAACCCGUCUCUGUGGCAAAAGAGUGGGAAGACCCCCGAGUAGAGGUGAAAAGCCUACCGAGCCUAGUUAUAGCUGGUUGCUUAAGAAAUGAUUAUUAGUUCAGCCUUAUAUUAUCCCAAAAUCAAAUUUACCACGAAACAAGUGAUAUAUAAGAGUUAAUUAAAGGGGGUACAGCCCCUUUAAGACAGGACACAACCUUACUUAGAAGGACAAGGAUCACACAUACAAAGGAUUUUAUCUCAGUUGGCUUAAAAGCAGCCACCUGUAAAGAAGACGUCAAAGCCCAGAUAAUGUAAUACCCAUAAUAAAGAUUAAGAUUCCCCACCCCCUAAAUAAUAUUAAGCCAUUCUAUGCCCACAUAGAAGAAAUAAUGCUAAAAUUAGUAAUAAGGGGCAAAGGCCCCCUCCUCGCAUAAGUGUAAGUCAGGACGGACUAACCACUGAUUAUCAACGGACCCAAUAAAGAGGGGAAAACAGUAAGUAUAACAAACAAGAAAAGACUGUUACACACACCCGUUAACCCAACACAGGAGUGCAACAAGGAAAGAUCAAAAGGAGAAGAAGGAACUCGGCAAACAUAAACCCCGACUGUUUACCAAAAACAUCGCCUCUUGCUAAAAAGGAAGUAUUAGAGGUCCCACCUGCCCUGUGACUAAAAGUUUAACGGCCGCGGUAUUAUGACCGUGCGAAGGUAGCGUAAUCAUUUGUCUUUUAAAUGAAGACCAGUAUGAAUGGUAUAACGAAGGUUUGACUGUCUCCUUCCCCCGAUCAAUGAAAUUGAUCUGUCCGUGCAGAAGCGGACAUAAAAACAUAAGACGAGAAGACCCUAUGGAGCUUUAGAUACGGGACCACCCACGUAAAACAUCUAAUAAACCCAACAGGAGAAUAAAGAUUAAAACCCAGUGUAUAUAUGGCCUAAUAUCUUCGGUUGGGGCGACCAAGGGGGACAAAAAAGCCCCCAAGAGGAACAGGGCCACAGCCCUAAAUUAAGAGAGACACCUCUAACAAACAUAAAAUAUGACCACAUAUGACCCAGGAUAAUAAACCUGAUCAACGAACCAAGUUACCCUAGGGAUAACAGCGCAAUCUUUUCCCAGAGCCCCUAUCGACGAAAAGGUUUACGACCUCGAUGUUGGAUCAGGACAUCCUAAUGGUGCAGCCGCUAUUAAGGGUUCGUUUGUUCAACGAUUAAUAGUCCUACGUGAUCUGAGUUCAGACCGGAGAAAUCCAGGUCGGUUUCUAUCUAUGAGAUGGUUUUUCCCAGUACGAAAGGAUCGGAAUAAUAAGGCCAAUACUAAAAGUAAGCCCUAUCCCUAACUGCUGAAAACAAAUAAAACAGAAAAUAGGACAUAUAAAAUAACCAAAGAUAAUGGU